rnacentral:rRNA from 1 species
GUGAGGAAUAUUGCGCGAUGGAGGCAACUCUGACGCAGCCAUGCCGCGUGCAGGAAGAAGGCGCUACGCGUUGUAAACUGCUUUUAACCGGGAAGAAACCCCAGGACGUGUCCUGGGUUGACGGUACCGGAGGAAUAAGCACCGGCUAACUUCGUGCCAGCAGCCGCGGUAAUACGAAGGGUGUAAGCGUUAUCCGGAUUCAUUGGGUUUAAAGGGUGCGUAGGCGGAGCGUUAAGUCAGUGGUGAAAUCCUGCAGCUUAACUGUAGACUUGCCAUUGAUACUGGCGCUCUUGAGUGCGCUUGAAGUGGGCGGAAUGUGCCGUGUAGCGGUGAAAUGCUUAGAUAUGGCACAGAACACCAAUUGCGAAGGCAGCUCACUAAGGCGAUACUGACGCUGAGGCACGAAAGCGUGGGGAUCGAACAGGAUUAGAAACCCUGGUAGUCC